UACGGAGGGUGCUAGCGUUGUUCGGAAUUACUGGGCGUAAAGCGCGUGUAGGCGGCCCGUUAAGUCUGAUGUGAAAGCCCGGGGCUCACCCCCGGAAGUGCAUUGGAGACUGAUGGGCUCGAGUCCCGGAGAGGAGGGUGGAAUUCCUGGUGUAGCGGUGAAAUGCGUAGAUAUCAGGAGGAACACCGGUGGCGAAGGCGGCCCUCUGGACGGUGACUGACGCUGAGACGCGAAAGCGUGGGGAGCAAACAGG
rnacentral:rRNA from 1 species